rnacentral:rRNA from 1 species
GUGCAGCAGUCGCGAAUCCUUUACAAUGCACGAAAGUGCGAUAAGGGGAUCCCAAGUGCCAAUACUCUGUAUUGGCUUUUGCUGAGAGUAAAAAUCUCGGCGAAUAAGUGAUGGGUAAGACUGGUGCCAGCCGCCGCCGUAACACCAGCGUCACGAGUGGCGCCCACUUUUAUUGGGUCUAAAGCGUCCGUAGCCGGGUCUGUAAGUCCUCUGUGAAAUCGUUAGGCCUAACCUAA